CUCUUCCUCCUGCUGUCUCUGAAGGCUGCAGAACUGAAGCCCAGAGUCUUCGCCUCUCUGGGGGGAUUCUGCCUGAAGGAACACGCUGUAGCACGUCUAUAAAGAAACCCAGACUUGUUCUGAACCACAGUGCUGCAACUGAAAUCUGCCUCCUAAAUAAUAAACCAACAACCACAAACAGCAGUGGACACACAGACUGUCGUUUCUCAACAUCUGGUUCACACACCUGCUUUGGUCCUUCAGAAUCUUAUUUGUGAAUAGGAAGACGAAGAGAAAGAAGCACUGGAAGAAGACAGCAGGAGUGUCAGUCUGUCACCAACAUGGCAGAUCCUGGUAGAAAAAGCUGCUGUCCAGCCGUGGUGGUUGCUAUGGUUCGAUUUCCUGCAUUUUUUCCCACCAGUCGGACGAGGACAGCACACAGACAAAGAGAGAGGACAGCUCAGCCUCUUGUAGCGGCGCUGCCAAAUGAAAGACGUGGGCCGAGAGUGGGAAACAGCCUCUGGAGGAGAGAAGCAAGGGAGGAAAUGAGAGCAAGGAGUGAGAGACAGAGCUCUUCUAUCAGCAGGCGAAACUCUCCCUGUUCUUGACACCUUGGAGCCUUUUCUUCUUUCAAGUGCAAGGACAACAAAAUCAUCCUAAUUACGUGAUGGCUCCAUGUCGUAUUAUGAAUUACUCAUCAAACUCAAAAAGUGUGCAAGGUUUCUAUGGAUUAAAGUAAAAAUCGUGGAGGGUCAGUGGGCCUUUAACCAGGGUUUCAUAAAUGCAUCAUGACUUUAUGUGCACUGGUGUCCUUUUGAGUCCACCUCUGAUUGCAUGAAACAAUUUUUAAUAUAUAUAUAUAUAUAAAAAAAAGGUGCCUUCAUGGGAAUAACCUUGUUGAGAACAGCAAAAAGAGCCGAGAGAAGGAAGUGUUUUUCUACCUGAAGACGAGCAGAUUAAGUACUGUGAAGGAGGAAGAGGCAGGAUGGGAACAGAUUUAUUAAUUUUUUUGCUCAUUCAACAAGACUAAAGCAAAAUAAUAAUGAUGAUAAACUGCACAAACACAUGACAGGUAGCUGUGCAGAAGAGGUAAAUCCAACAGGGGUUACAAAUCUAAACGGCCCCGUGUCAGAUUUAAGUUUUCAGGCAGCCGGCGGUGAGCGCAGGGUCAUUCACCCGGCUUUUACCAGGACAUGACAGGUGCCUCGUUAGGCCUUAAUUAAGCCUCAUCUCCUCUGCCUCAAGCUGUCACUGUCAGCACAAAGACCUGCAAUUACCAACUCCGACCCAGGGAGCCUCGCUGUUUACACCAGCAGACACACCAGCUUUACACUGCGGAGAGAACAGAAAGCAUUAAUUAGGCCAUAUCUGCCCCGUCACGAGUAAUUACAGUCGGAGACGCCUCUGCAGUCGCUGGAAGAGCUGCUCUAACUUUAACGCUCAGGUUUUUUUGCCACUAGGGGGCAGAAGAAGUCCACCACAGGCCAAAGGACACGCAGCCCUCACACAUGUUCAAGUACAUUUACUCAAGUACUUAACCUACUUGUACUAUUUACUAUUUCUAUUUUAAACUACUUAUCUGACAGCUUUAGUUACUGUUCAGAUUAAAAAUGUGCUCAGUAAACCUACAACGAGUUUCUAAAAGGAUAUAUUUUUAUAUAUUUGAGUUAAUUUCUUAAAUGAUUUUUCUUCUUAAACUACCAACUAAAAACGUACAUAAAGUA
rnacentral:lncRNA from 15 species